AUCUGAAUGACAUCAUGGACUAUAAUCUACCAGGUACCUACACAUUUCUCGUUGCUUUCCUGGUCUUCCUCCUUAGCCUACAAUAUACAACCGCCAUACGAUGCUUGAGUUGUGAUGACGUCAUACAACCACGUCACUGUUCUGGCAUCGAACAUUGCCCCGAAGGAGAUGCAUGUGUGACUGAGUCUUACCGAAACAAGAACGGGGGAACGUUGUUUAACGUUGGUUGCUUGUCUGCACA